UAAACUUUAAAAGAUCCAAAGAAAUCACUUGUGGAACGCAAAACACCAUUUACCUUAUACAGUAUAAAAAUGCAAUCACCAAUAUGUAGGACAUACAAAA